AUUGAACGCUAGCGGGAUGCCUUACACAUGCAAGUCGAACGGAGUGGCGAACGGGUGAGUAAUGUAUCGGAACGUGCCCAGUAGCGGGGGAUAACUAAGCGAAAGCGUAGCUAAUACCGCAUACUAUUUGAGCGGCCGAUAACGGAUAAGCUAGUUGGUGGGGGAACGGCGCACCAAGGCGACGAUCCGGAGCUGGUUUGAGAGGACGACCAGCCACACUGGAACGGAGCCACGGCCCAGAUUCCUAGGGGCGGCAGCGGUGGGGGAUUUUGGACAAUGGGUGAGACCCUAAUCCAGCCCUCCCGCGGGUGCGAUGAAGGCCUUCGGGUUGUAAAGCACUUUUGGCAGGAAAGCGGUACCUGCAGAAUAAGCACCGGCUAACUACGUGCCAGCAGCCGCGGUAAUAC
rnacentral:rRNA from 1 species